GACGAAGGGGGCUAGCGUUGGUCGGAAUUACUGGGCGUAAAGCGCGUGUAGGCGGUUGGCCAAGUCGGGUGUGAAAGCCUUGAGCUCAACUCAAGAAAUGCACUCGGUACUGGGUGACUAGAGGACCGGAGAGGAUAGUGGAAUUCCCAGUGUAGUGGUGAAAUACGUAGAGAUUGGGAAGAACACCAGUGGCGAAGGCGGCUAUCUGGACGGUUUCUGACGCUAAGACGCGAAAGCGUGGGGAGCAAACAGG
rnacentral:rRNA from 1 species